rnacentral:rRNA from 1 species
AUUGAACGCUGGCGGCAGGCUUAACACAUGCAAGUCGAGCGGGGUGAUGGUGCUUGCACUAUCACUUAGCGGCGGACGGGUGAGUAAUGCUUAGGAAUCUGCCUAUUAGUGGGGGACAACAUCUCGAAAGGGAUGCUAAUACCGCAUACGUCCUACGGGAGAAAGCAGGGGAUCACUUGUGACCUUGCGCUAAUAGAUGAGCCUAAGUCGGAUUAGCUAGUUGGUAGGGUAAAGGCCUACCAAGGCGACGAUCUGUAGCGGGUCUGAGAGGAUGAUCCGCCACACUGGGACUGAGACACGGCCCAGACUCCUACGGGAGGCAGCAGUGGGGAAUAUUGGACAAGGGGGGGAACCCUGGUCCAGCCAUGCCGCGUGUGUGAAGAAGGCCUUAUGGUUGUAAAGCACUUUAAGCGAGGAGGAGGCUCUUUUGGUUAAUACCCAAGAUGAGUGGACGUUACUCGCAGAAUAAGCACCGGCUAACUCUGUGCCAGCCGCCGCGGUAA